rnacentral:lncRNA from 1 species
AAAACUAGCUGAAAGUAGCUAGAUGCUAUUCUGAUUUCUGAAGGCCAAUCCGCCAAUCCACCGACCCGUGUUUGUAGUUUGUACAUAGGUACUCGUAGUUAUGAUUAUCUAUAAUUCUUCAGCUCAUCACUAUUUAUAAUCUUGAUCUGCUCUGAAAAUCAUAAAUCACUACUAGCAUCAUGUAGAAAUUGACAUGGCUUAUGAGAUUCCAGCUGCCAAACCAUCUUCAGAUAUGAAGAAAUGUUAUUGCUGUUUCCCCUGAAGCACUUGAGCAAUCUCAUAUGCUCUAGUUUCGAUGCCUUUCAGGUACUCUGUCAGAAUUCGUUGUUGGUAAGAACCUCCCUCCUUUGUUUUUCACCAGCGGCCAACGAGGAGAGAAAGCAUGGACAAAUGAAAUGAACAACAUCAGUUAAGCAGAAGACAAAAAAAGAGAUGAACCAAAUGUAGAAAGGCA